CAGAACCAUGGGUUGACCCUUGAGUUGACCCACGGACCCAUGGAUUCACCCAUGGACCAAUCAAGUGACCAAAAGUUGACCCACGGAUCCAUUCGUUGACCAACGGAGCCAAUCGUUGGCCAACGGAACUGAGGGUUGGCCAUUGGGUUGACCCACGGACCCAUAGAUUGACCCCCAGAGCCAUUUGUUGACCAACAGAACCAUGGGUUGACCCUUGGCUUGAUCCACAGACCCAUAGAUUGACCCACGGACCAAUAAAGUGACCAAAGGUUGACACACGGAUC